rnacentral:rRNA from 1 species
AGCGGCAAAAGCUCAAAUUUGAAAUCUGGCGCCUUCGGUGUCCGAGUUGUAAUUUGAAGAUUGUAACCUUGGGGUUGGCUCUUGUCUAUGUUUCUUGGAACAGGACGUCACAGAGGGUGAGAAUCCCGUGCGAUGAGAUGCCCAAUUCUAUGUAAGGUGCUUUCGAAGAGUCGAGUUGUUUGGGAAUGCAGCUCUAAGUGGGUGGUAAAUUCCAUCUAAAGCUAAAUAUUGGCGAGAGACCGAUAGCGAACAAGUACAGUGAUGGAAAGAUGAAAAGAACUUUGAAAAGAGAGUGAAAAAGUACGUGAAAUUGUUGAAAGGGAAGGGUUUGAGAUCAGACUCGAUAUUUUGUGAGCCUUGCCUUCGUGGCGGGGUGACCCGCAGCUUAUCGGGCCAGCAUCGGUUUGGGCGGUAGGAUAAUGGCGUAGGAAUGUGACCUUACUUCGGUGAAGUGUUAUAGCCUGCGUUGAUGCUGCCUGCCUAGACCGAGGACUGCGAUUUUAUCAAGGAUGCUGGCAUAAUGAUCCCAAACCGCCCGUCUUGAAACACGGAC